GACGAACGCUGGCGGCGUGCCUAACACAUGCAAGUCGAACGGAAAGGCCCUGCUUGCAGGGUAUUCGAGUGGCGAACGGGGGAGUAACACGUGGGUGCUCUGCCCUGCACUUUGUGGUAAGCCUUGGAAACUGGGGCUAAUACCGCAUAGGAGCCAUUUUGAUGGUGAGGGUUGGAAAGAUUUUUCGGUGUAGGAUGAGCUCGCGGGCUAUAAUCUUGUUGGUGGGGGAAUGGCCUACCAAGGGGGCGGCGGGUCGCCGGCCUGGGAGGGUGGACGGCCAACUUGGGGCCGAGGGUAGGGCCAGGAUCCCAAGGGAGGCAAACGGGGGGAAUAUUGCAACAUGGGGGCGAGGCUGAUGCAGCGACGCCGCGUGGGGGAUUGCCGCCUUCGGGGUGUAAACUCGUUUCGGUAUGGAAGAAGGCUUUUGUGACGGUACCUAGAUAAGAAGCACCGGCUAACUACGUG
rnacentral:rRNA from 1 species